rnacentral:rRNA from 1 species
UGGGGAAUAUUGGACAAUGGGCGAAAGCCUGAUCCAGCCAUGCCGCGUGCGGGAAGAAGGCCUUCGGGUUGUAAACCGCUUUUGUCAGGGAAGAAACGCUCUGGGCUAAUACCCUGGGGUAAUGACGGUACCUGAAGAAUAAGCACCGGCUAACUACGUGCCAGCAGCCGCGGUAAUACGUAGGGUGCAAGCGUUAAUCGGAAUUACUGGGCGUAAAGCGUGCGCAGGCGGUUAUGCAAGACAGAUGUGAAAUCCCCGGGCUCAACCUGGGAACUGCAUUUGUGACUGUAUAGCUAGAGUACGGUAGAGGGGGAUGGAAUUCCGCGUGUAGCAGUGAAAUGCGUAGAUAUGCGGAGGAACACCGAUGGCGAAGGCAAUCCCCUGGACCUGUACUGACGCUCAUGCACGAAAGCGUGGGGAGCAAACAGGAUUAGAUACCCUCGUAGUCCCUGAGCGGGCUGGCAAGGCGCAU